AGGAUGAACGCUGGCGGUGUGCCUAAUACAUGCAAGUCGAACGGGAUCUUCGGAUCUAGUGGCGGACGGGUGAGUAACACGUUGGUACCUACCCCUAAGUGGGGAAUAACUGCCCGAAAGGGUGGCUAAUACCGCAUAAUCCCGCAAGGGUAAAGCAGUAAUGCGCUUAGGGAGGGGCCUGCGUCUGAUUAGCUAGUUGGUAGGGUAAUGGCCUACCAAGGCGACGAUCAGUAGCUGGAUCGAGAGGUUGACCAGCCACACUGGGACUGAGAUACGGCCCAGACUCCUACGGGAGGCAGCAGUAAGGAAUCUUCCACAAUGGACGAAAGUCUGAUGGAGCAACACCGCGUGCAGGAUGACGGUCUUCGGAUUGUAAACUGUACUUUUAUAUGGGAAGAUUAUGACGGUACCAUAUGAAUAAGGACCGGCUAACUACGCGCCAGCAGCCGC
rnacentral:rRNA from 1 species